CCGAUGAUAGCUCAGUGGUAGAGCGGGUGACUGUAGAUCACCAGGUCCUGAGUUGAAUUCUCAGUCAUCGGA